rnacentral:rRNA from 1 species
GACGAACGCUGGCGGCGUGCCUAACACAUGCAAGUGGAGCGACGGACCAGGGCUUGCCCUGGGGCCAAGCCGCGAACGGGUGAGUAACACGUGGGUAACCCACCCCGUUGACCGGGACAACCCGAGGAAACUCGGGCUAAUACCGGAUGAACCCUACGGACUCCAGUCCGUCGGGGAAAGGUAGCUUCGGCUUCCGCUACGGGAAGGGCCCGCGGCCCAUUAGCUAGUUGGUGAGGUAACGGCUCACCAAGGCAACGAUGGGUAGCUGGUCUGAGAGGACGAUCAGCCACACUGGGACUGAGACACGGCCCAGACUCCUACGGGAGGCAGCAGUGGGGAAUCUUGCGCAAUGCGCGAAAGCGUGACGCAGCAACGCCGCGUGGGGGAAGACGGCCUUCGGGUUGUAAACCCCUUUCAGGAGGGACGAAGGUGUGGCAGUUAAUAGCUGUCCGCACUGACGGUACCUCCACAAGAAGCUCCGGCUAACUACGUGCCAGCCGCCGCCGUAAUAC